AUUGAACGCUGGCGGCAGGCCUAACACAUGCAAGUCGAACGAGUGGCGGACGGGUGAGUAAUGUCUGGGAAACUGCCUGAUGGAGGGGGAUAACUACUGGAAACGGUAGCUAAUACCGCAUACCAUCGGAUGUGCCCAGAUGGGAUUAGCUAGUAGGUGGGGUAAAGGCUCACCUAGGCGACGAUCCCUAGCUGGUCUGAGAGGAUGACCAGCAAGACGUGGACUGAGACACGGUCCAGACUGCGACUGGAGGCAGGAGUGGGGAAUAUUGCACAAGGGGAGCAAGCCUGAUGCAGCCAUGCCGCGUGUAUGAAGAAAACCUUCGAGUAGUAAAGUAGUUUCGGCGGGGGGACGUUACCCGCAGAAGAAGCACCGGCGAACUCCGUGCCAGCAGCCGCGGUAAUAC
rnacentral:rRNA from 1 species